GGGUGCUGCCUGGAGUCUCCUGCGUGUCUCUGCUCCUUUGAUGUCAGCAUCGGGGAGAAAGGUGGUAAAGAACACUUGUUUCAGUUUGAGGUGCUCGGCAGCCACGCGCUGAAGGACGGUUUUUAAUUGUAGGGUGGGGACUGAGAAUGGUGCAUACUAACUGCUGAGGAACAUGGUGAAUGGAGUUAUGGUAAUUGCACGAUUGGCAUGAAGGGGUGAGAGAAGUUCCAGAUUGGUCGAUUAAAAUACUUGGGAGGCUGCAUUCUGAUAAUUCUCAGGAGGAAGAAUGUAUAGGAGAGACCAGGGUUUUUAAGGUGUGACCUCUGAACCACCUACAUCAGAGCUGACUGCCUCUCGUGUCUGGGAGCCAGCUUCUGAGUGUUGUCAAGGUGUUUGAGGAGCCAGUCUGUCUCCGUCAUCUGUUCCUGCCUUACUUAGAUGGAAAAUAAUGAAAUCUGUGUAGGAAGGGAGGGUGAGUAGAGGGAUGGCCUGUGUUGACUGAACAAUAAAAUAGUGAUGUUAAU
rnacentral:lncRNA from 10 species